rnacentral:tRNA from 1 species
GCCCGGGUGGUGAAAUUGGUAGACGCAGGGGACUCAAAAUCCCCCGCCGAAAGGCGUGCCGGUUCGAUUCCGGCCUCGGGCACCA